UACAGAGGUCUCAAGCGUUGUUCGGAUUCAUUGGGCGUAAAGGGCGCGUAGGCGGCGGGGUAAGUCGGGUGUGAAAUCUCAGAGCUCAACUCUGAAAUGGCACUUGAUACUGCUCUGCUAGAGGACUGGAGAGGAGAUUGGAAUUCACGGUGUAGCAGUGAAAUGCGUAGAUAUCGUGAGGAAGACCGGUGGCGAAGGCGGAUCUCUGGACAGUUCCUGGCACUGAGACACGAAGGCCAGGGGAGCAAACGGG
rnacentral:rRNA from 1 species